rnacentral:rRNA from 1 species
CAGCCGCCGCGGGAAUACAGAGGGUGCGAGCGUUAAUCGGAUUUACUGGGCGUAAAGCGUGCGCAGGCGGUUUGUUAAGACAGAUGUGAAAUCUCCAGGCUUAACCUGGAAACUGCCGUUGAUACUAUAGGUCUUGAAUUUUGUGGAGGUUAGCGGAAUAUGUCAUGUAGCGGUGAAAUGCAUAGAUAUGACAUAGAACACCAAUUGCGAAGGCAGCUGGCUACACAACUAUUGACGCUGAGGCACGAAAGCGUGGGGAUCAAACAGGAUUAGAUAACCCGGUAGUCCCUGUCUCUUAUAC